rnacentral:siRNA from 1 species
AAAGCUUACAACCGGACUCGUCUU